rnacentral:rRNA from 1 species
GAUGAACGCUGGCGGCGUGCCUAAUACAUGCAAGUCGAGCGAACAGACGAGGAGCUUGCUCCUCUGACGUUAGCGGCGGACGGGUGAGUAACACGUGGAUAACCUACCUAUAAGACUGGGAUAACUUCGGGAAACCGGAGCUAAUACCGGAUAAUAUAUUGAACCGCAUGGUUCAAUAGUGAAAGACGGUUUUGCUGUCACUUAUAGAUGGAUCCGCGCCGCAUUAGCUAGUUGGUAAGGUAACGGCUUACCAAGGCAACGAUGCGUAGCCGACCUGAGAGGGUGAUCGGCCACACUGGAACUGAGACACGGUCCAGACUCCUACGGGAGGCAGCAGUAGGGAAUCUUCCGCAAUGGGCGAAAGCUUGACGGAGAAACGCCGCGUGAGUGAUGAAGGUCUUCGGAUCGUAAAACUCUGUUAUUAGGGAAGAAAAAAUGUGUAAGUAACUAUGCACGUCUUGACGGUACCUAAUCAGAAAGCCACGGCUAAAUACGUG